AUGGAUCAAGGAGACCAGCAGUGGGAUGGCAUGAACAUAACGAGGGCACUUGAGGCCUUGUCCCCCUACAUCAACAACCCACGGGAGACUGUCAUCCGUAUUGAAGUAUUUGUGGGUGUUUCAACCGCUCUUUUGUUUCUGCAAGUCACCCUUGGUCCGUGCCGCCGGCGGUCGAGCAACUUCCUCAUCCAAGGUGCCUUGUGGCUAGCAUACACACUAUCCUUCCCUCUUUCUGCCUACACCAUCGGUCAGAUGCUGUCCUCACCAGUGAAGAAUGGGCUGUACCCUCUCUGGGUUGCUCUCAUCUUAUGGGCCGUGGGAUGCAGCAACUCCAUGACAGCUUAUGGUCUUGAUGACAACAAGCUUUGGAGGCGGUACCUCUUUGUGCUGCUUCAGUAUUUUUUCUACGCAGGCAUUAUAUUCCGGCUGCUUGUUCCUACUAGAUAUGAGUUCCUCUUGUUCCCAAAAGGACCCAUUUUUGAAACACAGCCUAUUGCCUGGUCUAUAGAUAUCCUAAUUAGCGUCUUACUGUUCACUAGUUUGGUUAGAGCAAUGGCUAAUUGGAUAGCUACAGAUUCUUACCACAGCCAAGUAGUAGCAGAUUACAUGAGGGAUCAGGUCAACCACACUGCCAACCAUCACGUAUCUGUAGAUCCAAUCACAAUGGAGGGCUACAGAUACAUUGUCUUCUUGCCUUCUCACCUACUGUGCGGCUUUAAGGUGGCAAAGGGACCAACCUACAGAAACAAAUUAGUACCCGCAGAUGAUGGUAUCAUCACCAUCGACGCAAUUUGGAGGGAGAAAUUUGAUGACAGCUGGCUCAACACAGAUGGAGGUGGAUCACAAUUGAAUGAUGUGUGCCUUUCAUUUGCUUUGUCUCACCUGCUGAAGCGCAGAUUCUUUGGGAUGGAGUGCGCUGAAGCCGCCCAUGAUGAGACCCGCAAGUUUGUCUUGGAGGGUUUACUAUCCCAUAAGGAUGGAGGUGCAAGAGCAUUUCGUAUCAUCGAGGUGGAAUUGGGUUUCCUCUAUGAUUUCUUCUUCACAAAGUAUGCAGCUCUGUUUCACAUGGAGAGAUCUUUCAUUGCCAUGGUGCUUCUCAGAAUAAUUCUCUUGUCUAUCACAGUGGCAGUACUGCUUGGGGGUUCCCCAACUAUCAUGACACCUAAACCGGUAAUUGAAGUUGGCACAAGAUCUGUCGAUGUUAGUAUCACAAUCAUGAUUAUGGGAAUUCUUUUGUUGGUUGAAGCACUGCAGAUUAUACUUUAUCUGAUGUCAGAUUGGGCCACUGUUUCACUCGCUUGCGGCUAUACAAGAAGAUCAGGGACCUGCAACAAACUCAUUCCGUUUGUUAUUUGGUUUCUCAGAAGAUUUAACUUAUCCAGAUAUUGGACAAGUAUGAUAUCAAAUACAAAGUUUGGCAAGUUUCUUUACAGCCUUAAUUUAUUUGGAUAUUGGCAAAAUCAGAUGGGCCAGUUAUCCCUAUUUGGACUCUCAAAAACUGAAACUCGGCCGAGUCGGAUCUUUGUCUGGUUGGACGACCUCUUCUGCCAGGCUUUUCUUUUGGCUAAUUUAACUGUCCAAGAAUACAUCCUUCAGCCCAUAUUUUCAAAGAUUUCAAAUAUAUUCUUCUCAUCUGCGAAAACAUCAAUAGGGGUUCCUGAUCUGGUCAAGAAAGAGAUAGUUUCUUGCUUACAGAAAACCAAUAUUGGUGGCCCUCUAACUAAUGGACAAGCAGCAUUGCGGUGUAAUGGAGAAGCAGCACUGCAGCAUCAUGUUGUCCUUGAGCAUAUCUCCUGUACACUGGAGAAUCAAAGUCAGACAAUGACCAUGCUUAUUUGGCAUAUUGCAACUGAGUACUGCGAUCUUCCUUCUCCCAAUGAGUUGGAGGAGCAUCAGAGCAGUGCGCAGGAGGAGGAAAAUGCGCAAAUAGAUAAAAAGUACAAGCAAGUCGCGAUAAUCUUAUCCAGAUAUUGUAUAUACUUGAUAGCCAAUGUCCCAGCUUUGCUUCCUGGAGAUUCUACAGAUACACUAAUGGUCUACCGUGCUGUGGUAAAUGAGGUUCAGCGUGAUGGGGUUUGGGCUUCUCACAAGCCAUGUAAGGCUGAAUUGCUGAAUGUCAUCAACAAUUGCGACAGCCGCAGGCGCACCAAAGAAGAGGGCAAUAACAUCAUCGAGGGCUCGCCCAACAACAACAAUGAAGAAGAUACCAUCUUCAUGAAAGGCUUGAAGCUGGGGAAGAAGCUGGAGGAAAUUGGAGACGGCGCGCUCCGUUGGAAGCUCAUGGCGGAUUUCUGGGUUGAGACCAUCAUCUACAUUGCACCAUCGGACGACGCCACAGCGCACAUGGAGCGCCUCGCCCAGGGUGGAGAAUUUCUUACUCAUGUCUGGGCUCUCCUCACUCACGCAGGCAUCGUGCGGCAUGACCAGAGGAGAAACCCCGAAGAUCUUGUGUAA
rnacentral:rRNA from 1 species